rnacentral:rRNA from 1 species
UACGAAGGUGGCAAGCGUUGUUCGGAAUUAUUGGGCGUAAAGGGCGCGUAGGCGGACUUGUAAGUCGAUUGUGAAAACCCUGGGCUUAACCCGGGAACUGCAGUCGAAACUACAAGUCUUGAAUGCUCGAGAGGAUGGUAGAAUUCCAGGUGUAGAGGUGAAAUUCGUAGAUAUCUGGAGGAAUACCUGAGGCGAAAGCGGCCAUCUGGCGAGACAUUGACGCUGAGGCGCGAAAGCGUGGGGAUCAAACAGGAUUAGAUACCCUGGUAGUCCACGCCAUAAACUAUGGAUACUAGAUGUUCGAGGAGUUAACCCCUUGAGUAUCAAAGCUAACGCAUUAAGUAUCCCGCCUGGGAAGUACGGCCGCAAGGCUAAA